AGCGAACGCUGGCGGCAGGCUUAACACAUGCAAGUCGAACGCCCCGCAAGGGUAGUGGCAGACGGGUGAGUAACACGUGGGAACGUACCCUUUGGUUCGGAAUAACUUGGGGAAACUCAAGCUAAUACCGGAUAAGCCCUUAUGGGGAAAGGGUUACUGCCGAAGGAUCGGCCCGCGUCUGAUUAGCUAGGUGGUGAGGUAAUGGCUCACCAAGGCGACGAUCAGUAGCUGGGCGGAGAGGAUGAUCAGCCACACUGGGACUGAGACACGGCCCAGACUCCUACGGGAGGCAGCAGUGGGGAAUAUUGGACAAUGGGGGCAAGCCUGAUCCAGCCAUGCCGCGUGAGUGAUGAAGGCCUUAGGGUUGUAAAGCUCUUUUACCCGGGACGAUAAUGACUGUACCGGGAGAAUAAGCCCCGGCUAACUUCGUGCCAGCAGCCGCCGUAA
rnacentral:rRNA from 1 species